rnacentral:tRNA from 1 species
UCCAUAAGUGAGACUACAGCUCACCG